CCUUCAAGACUCUGCUCAAAAUGUUUCUUUCUCAGUAAGGUCCCCCUGGAACCAUUCCAUCUGUGAUGACUGAUCUUGACUUCAACUCACUCAAUUGACAGAUGAAGAGGAGACUCCAAAUACCCACCCUGGGGAGUGUCGAGACUAUCUACCAUCCAGAACAGAAGUCUCCAUAAAUAUUGAACAAAUGGAUUAAACACUGCCUAUUGGAAAUAGUGAGAUGGCUCAGUGGGAAAAGUGUUUGCUGAGAUCCUGACUUCCAUCUCCAAGAAUCACAUGGUAGAAGAAGAAACUUAACAAGAAUUUGUGUGUUAUCCAAUUCAUGUCAACACUUGACAUUCUCUUGUUUUAAAACCCUGCCUCAUAAAGCUCUUAGUACGUCAUUCUAAGAUACCUCGUUACUUGACAUCUAGGAUCUCCAAUUCAUCCUCCCUCCUUAUAUCUGUAGCUUCUAAUACAACCCUUUUGACAAUCUCAUUCCCAUCUAGGAUCACACAGCUCCCUCUGCCUGCUGUGAUCCGAGUAUCUGUUUCUGACUUUACACAGCAGCCAAGAAUAGUGUAGACUUUUGAAAAGAUAUCUAUGAGCACUUAAGGAUUAACAUAGACAGAAUGAAUUAAUUGAUGCUGAAGAGAUGGAUCAGAAGUUUUUGUUCUUCCAGAGGAUCCAGCUUCUUACCACUUCCACAGACUCAGGUCACUUGGCAGAGCCUCAUGGUUUCUUCUGAAUCAAACUGCCAUUGCUGGUUCAUGAAUGGUGUUUGCAAGUGGAUUAAGCUACUGCUGCUGAUUUGUGUGAACUGAGCUGCUGAUAUUCUGACAACACAGAUCAGGUUUGCUCCAAAGAACUAUUUCUAAGCACCAGAACUCAAGCACACAGAGAAGAUGCUGUCCAUUCUGGGGGCCAGUCCCCUCGCCUCAAUCAAGCCUGUCUGGAGUUGCCCUCAGGAUAUACCCAGAGGCUCAAAAUCGAACGAUAAAAGGGAAGGAAACUGAACUUAUAAAAGAUGAAAGCUUUCAUCGCUCAGGAAAAAGGGCCACUUAAGACUGUGGAAGCCAUACCCAGCACUGCUGUUUGCAGAGGACAUAAGGUAUCAAGGAUGAGUGAGGGAGUGCUUGCUGGCACAGGACACUUUUCUUAAGCAAGAUUUAAGAUCCUGGAAGAGGAUCCACUGCUCCGACUCACAGAAGCUUAGGGAAAUGGCCAUCCGUAAGUGAGAAGCCGUGGGAGAUGAGCGCCAAGAACAUUAGCCAAGUCUGGACACCAGGUGGCAGCACUGGACUGUGGAAAGUAGAGCUGGCCUAAUGACCCCUGCAGAAACACAGGGUGUCUGAGCAGCAAUGUAAUUGAGCAUCCCAGUGGAAAAUCACAAUUCCUGACCAUGUUCCCAGUGAGUGUGGCACCUGAACAUGAUUAGACAAGAUGUACAAGCUUCUAAGCACGUCCAUGGAGACUGGGCUACUCUACAUAGAUGAAAUGUGCUUUCCUGCUGCAGACCAGAAAUGAGGAUGAUGGAGGCCCUGGGAUCCUUUGCCUGUUCAGCCUCUCAGCACUGCCUCGAACCCCACAGGCAGCAGGAAGCUUUGUUACCCAAACCACAGUACUGAAGUCUUUAGCCCCUAAACCAGACAUCCCGCCCAAUCCCAGAUUUCAGCAAGACCUCACACAUACACGUGUAUAUGCAUGGGUGUGGUGUGUGUGCAUAUGUAUGCUCAUUUGCAUGUGUGGUGCACAUGUAGGCAUGUGUGGGAACCUUUCCAUGUAUAUGGAGGUGGG
rnacentral:lncRNA from 1 species